rnacentral:rRNA from 1 species
UGCAGUCGAACGAAGUAGCAAUACUUAGUGGCAGACGGGUGAGUAACAUGUAGGUAUCUACCCUUUGGCCUGGAAUAACACGAGGAAACUUGUGCUAAUACUGGAUAAGUCUUUACGGAGAAAGCUUUAUGCACCAAUGGAUGAGCCUGCACUUGAUUAGUUUGUUGGUAGGGUAAUGGCCUACCAAGACUAUGAUCAAUAGCUGAUUUGAGAGGAUGAUCAGCUACAUUGGGACUGAGACACGGCCCAAACUCCUACGGGAGGCAGCAGUGGGGAAUCUUGCACAAUAGAGGAAACUCUGAUGCAGCGAUGCCGCGUGAGUGAAGAAGGCCUUUGGGUUGUAAAGCUCUUUCGUCGGGGAAGAAAAUGACUGUACCCGAAUAAGAAGGUCCGGCUAACUUCGUGCCAGCAGCCGCGGUAAUACGAAGGGACCUAGCGUAGUUCGGAAUUACUGGGCUUAAAGAGUUCGUAGGUGGUUGAAAAAGUUGGUGGUGAAAUCCCAGAGCUUAACUCUGGAACUGCCAUCAAAACUUUUCAGCUAGAGUUUGAUAGAGGAAAGCAGAAUUUCUAGUGUAGAGGUGAAAUUCGUAGAUAUUAGAAAGAAUACCAAUUGCGAAGGCAGCUUUCUGGAUCAAUACUGACACUGANGAACGAAAGCAUGGGUAGCGAAGANGAUUAGAUACCCUCGUAGUCCAUGCCGUAAACGAUGUGUGUUAGACGUUGGAAAUUUAUUUUCAGUGUCGCAGUGAAAGCGAUAAACACACCGCCNGGGNNGUACGANCGCANGGUUAAAACUCAAAUGAAUUNGANNGGGACCCGCACAAGUAGNGGNNCAUGUGGUUUAAUUCGAA